rnacentral:rRNA from 1 species
GUUGAACGCUGGCGGCAGGCCUAACACAUGCGAGUCGAACGGCAGCGGGGGGUAGCUUGCUACCCCGCCGGCGAGUGGCGGACGGGUGAGUAAUGCCUGGGGAGCUGCCCAAUCGAGGGGGAUACCAGUUGGAAACGACUGCUAAUACCGCAUACGCCCUGAGGGGGAACGGUGGGGAUCUUCGGACCUACCGCGAUUGGAUGCACCCAGGUGGGAUUAGCUAGUUGGUGAGGUAACGGCUCACCAAGGCGACGAUCUCUAGCUGGUCUGAGGGGAUGACCAGCCACACUGGAACUGAGACACGGUCCAGACUCCUACGGGAGGCAGCAGUGGGGAAUAUUGCACAAUGGGGGAAACCCUGAUGCAGCCAUGCCGCGUGUGUGAAGAAGGCCUUCGGGUUGUAAAGCACUUUCAGCGAGGAGGAAAGGUUGGCAGCUAAUACCUGUCAGCUGUGACGUUACUCGCAGAAGAAGCACCGGCUAACUCCGUGCCAGCCGCCGCAGUAA